GGGGCUGUAGUAUAGCGGGAAUACGCGUCGUUCGCAACGACGAGUCGGGGGUUCAAUUCCCCCCAGCUCCACCA
rnacentral:tRNA from 1 species